UAUUAACCACAUGUAAUGUUCUCGUGUCGAAUGUAAACAGUCCGAUUGAUAAUGGCCAGUUGACAGUUCUCAACACGUAAGAGUGUUGGUAUGAUGAGUUCUUUUCCCGUUUCAUACGGAGAAGCGGAGAAAAGAACAAGAAUCAGUGGUAUUAAGUGUUCAUCUGAAAUGAUUUUACAACCAGUUAAAUUCGUUAUUCAGAUAGAAAUCUCGUUAUUGGCAAAAAAACAAACAGAUUCUUAAUAUAAACGAUGAUUACGUUGGAGAGGGACGACGGGGUAUUGUAACCGUCGGUUACCAUUCCAAAUUGUUGGCUCUGCCACAAUGAAAUGAGCCUUAGACUCGCUUGUGAGCUCCCACUCCCUAAGUCCGACCCUCACUUUGACUAGCAAAUCCUCUCUCCAUACCACCGAAGGUACUCACAGUCGCAUUCCAGCAAGAGUGGUAUUUGUUUACAGCGGGUUAGGGUAUCGGUCGCCGAGGGCAAUCCACGGGUGAAGCGACCAAAUAACGGCUGCUGAGCGGAAACACAAUCAUUGUCAAAGUUCGGGUGAUUUCGUUAUUUCUCCGAAUCAGACUCACUGAUCGCGCUUUAAUACGCUCAGCCAAAAUACUGAACCUUCUUUCUGUCCGUGAAUACCAACGAAGUUAGAAGUGCGCGACGGUUCUAAAUUUUUCUGCUUAAAAUAUUUUUGAGUCUAAGAAUAAAAUUGUUACGAAUAAAAGGAGGUGACAUAUACAUACGGUGUUAAAAGUAAAAAUUUACGAGUGUAAAAUUGGCUAAAGCUAAAGGCACGAAAUUUGUUAAAAGCUAAUUAAAAAGUGUACACACGAUGAAAAGGUUCCCAGUGAACCUUUUUAUCUCGGGCUUCGGAUCUACGUCCGUAAGACGCUCUAUUCACAGAAAUUAUCAUCGAAGACCGUAUCUGAAUAAGCCAUCUAUCACGGCGAAGAAGACUCAACGCAGAUAAGGACCAGCGGACAGAUUGUACACGGCUCUCAGACGCUAUUACGAGAGCAAUAUCGCACCUGCUGAUAGAAUUCGGCCCUACACCACGUGGUCAAUUCCGUCACGACAAGGCAGCUUUCACAUCACAUCCACGUGAUUGCCUCCGAGAAACGACAACUACAACGGUUCCCGUAACGACACGCUAAUAUCCAGUAUCGACUUCAACUACUACAAGCAGUCGACAGCAGUCCCGGAAACCUAGCCCGAGAUCACCCUAGCACACCAGCAUAACUUAAAACCCAAACCGCAAGUAGAACGUAGUGACGUCACGUAGGUUAAGAGUUCAUGUUAGCAAUUAAGAAUAAAUCCAUAAUGUUACCGAAGUGCACCGUGAGUUAGUUCAAAUAGUAUUGGCCCUUAUUAGCAAGUUCCACCACUAGCUUUAAUAUUCGCUUGCGAACUCAAAAAGGAGUUAUCAGCCCUCGUCAUUGUUAUUCCACCAGAGUUUUGUUUCAGUGUAGUGCUUGUGAGCAA